UGAAGAGGGUGAGAGAGUCCAUCUUCAAAAGGGUAUUCUGGAGCUCCCACAUUUUUGCUAAGAAAGGCUGUCAGAGCAGGCAAAUAUGGCAGCAGCGUUGUAAGCUUCUGUGUGGCUCUUUCAAAAUCAGAGGAGAAGGAGACAGACUCUCUGGGUCUAAGAACUACGGGCCCCAGGAGAAUUUUCAGUCAACGUGGAAAUGCCAAGGAGGAUGAGGAGGUCUUUCCGAGAUUCAACAGGGUCUUCAUGAAAUCUCUGAAAUAUCUGUAUUGUGUUGGUCCCCCAAGUUUCUUUUGUGAAGAUGGGAGCAACAUGUGAUAUUCCCACUUCCUCUUUUUAAAACCAUCACUGGGCUGUCAUUUCAGCAACAUCUUAACAAAUGAAAAUCCUCCUCUGAGUCAAUAGUAAUUAUAGGAAUUUAUCACAAUUGCCAAUCAAGGUGUUCUGAAGAGACUCAUCUUUCUUGUUAAAUUAGCUUUCACUGCACGCAAACAGUGAGUUAUCUUUAG
rnacentral:lncRNA from 1 species